UGUUUCGGCUAGGGGGCCAUCCCGGCUUACCAACCCGAUGCAAACUGCGAAUACCGGAGAAUGUUAUCACGGGAGACACACGGCGGGUGCUAACGUCCGUCGUGAAGAGGGAAACAACCCAGACCGCCAGCUAAGGUCCCAAAGUCAUGGUUAAGUGGGAAACGAUGUGGGAAGGCCCAGACAGCCAGGAUGUUGGCUUAGAAGCAGCCAUCAUUUAAAGAAAGCGUAAUAGCUCACUGGUCGAGUCGGCCUGCGCGGAAGAUGUAACGGGGCUAAACCAUGCACCGAAGCUGCGGCAGCGACACUGUGUGUUGUUGGGUAGGGGAGCGUUCUGUAAGCCUGCGA
rnacentral:rRNA from 1 species